GCAAUCACACUCCAGUGAGGGAAUUAAGGACGGCACAUUGUCCUUGUAACGGGGAUCCAGCAUUGUGGCCAUCCAGUAAUCAGCACAAGUUAGAAUGUGGGCAACUCGGCAGUCGUUGCGCAGGCACUUUGGUGACUCUAGAUAACCUUGGGCCGAUCGCACGUCCCCGUGAUGGCGACAAUGCAUUCGGAUGUCUGCCCUAUCAACUUUCCAUGGUACUUUCUGCGCCUACCAUGGUGACCACGGGUAAUGGGGAAUCAGGGUUCGAUUCCG